rnacentral:snoRNA from 15 species
CCUCCUUAGCGGGAGAGUGGCGUGGGGUCUGGUUUGGGUCUUGUGUCUCGUGGAAGGCGUGUGUGGCCCGCGUGUGUGCGUGUGUCUGUGUGUGAGUGGGCGCGUGUGGGGAGUGCCAGACGAGUGUAUGAGCCCGCCCCUGCGCCCCUCUCCCCACCUACACCUUGAUCUUAUUUGAUCGGGUCCGACCCCAGCCCCGCCGGGCCAACCCGAAAUGAAAUGAUCCCCUCCUGCGAAGCCCUCCGCGGCGCUGUGCAGCGAGGCCUGUUGGGCGGCGGCAACGCUGUGGUCCCCGAGGUCCCGGAGCUGGUCCGACGGGCCCGGCGCUCAGAAGUGAUGAAUUGAUCAGAUAGACGAGACCGGGCUUGUCCUGUGUCGCUGAUUAUCGAGGCGAUUCUGAUCUGA